UACGUAGGGUGCAAGCGUUAAUCGGAAUUACUGGGCGUAAAGCGUGCGCAGGCGGUGAUGUAAGACAGAUGUGAAAUCCCCGGGCUCAACCUGGGAACUGCAUUUGUGACUGCAUCGCUGGAGUGCGGCAGAGGGGGAUGGAAUUCCGCGUGUAGCAGUGAAAUGCGUAGAUAUGCGGAGGAACACCGAUGGCGAAGGCAGCCCCCUGGGCUGAGAUUGACGCUCAGGCACGAAAGCGUGGGGAGCAAACAGG
rnacentral:rRNA from 1 species